rnacentral:rRNA from 1 species
GUACACUCCUGCGGGAGGCAGCAGUGGGGAAUUUUGGACAAUGGGCGAAAGCCUGAUCCAGCAAUGCCGCGUGAGUGAAGAAGGCCUUCGGGUUGUAAAGCUCUUUUGUCAGGGAAGAAACGGUGAAAGCUAAUAUCUUUUGCUAAUGACGGUACCUGAAGAAUAAGCACCGGCUAACUACGUGCCAGCAGCCGCGGUAAUACGUAGGGUGCAAGCGUUAAUCGGAAUUACUGGGCGUAAAGCGUGCGCAGGCGGUCUUGUAAGUCUGAUGUGAAAUCCCCGGGCUCAACCUGGGAAUUGCAUUGGAGACUGCAAGGCUAGAAUCUGGCAGAGGGGGGUAGAAUUCCACGUGUAGCAGUGAAAUGCGUAGAUAUGUGGAGGAACACCGAUGGCGAAGGCAGCCCCCUGGGUCAAGAUUGACGCUCAUGCACGAAAGCGUGGGGAGCAAACAGGAUUAGAAACCCGGGUAGUCCCAUGAU